AGUGAACGCUGGCGGUAGGCCUAACACAUGCAAGUCGAACGGCAGCACAGUAAGAGCUUGCUCUUACGGGUGGCGAGUGGCGGACGGGUGAGGUAUGCAUCGGAAUUUACUUUUUCGUGGGGGUUCACGUAGGGAAACUUACGCUAAUAUAGCAUACGAUCUACGGGUGUAAGCAGUGGAUAUUCGGACCUUGUGCGAUUGAAUGCGCCGCUGUCGGGUUGGUUAGUUGGCGGGGUAAAUGCCCACCAAGUCGACGAUCCGUGGCUGGGCUGUGAGGAUGAUCGGCCACACUAGAGCGGGGACGCGGUCCAGGCUCCUACGAUAGGGAGCAGUGGGGAAUGGUGGACAGUGGGGGCAAACCUGAUCCAGCCAUACCGCGUGGGUGAAAAAGGCCUUCGGGUUGUAAAGCCGUUUUGUGGGGAAAGAAAAGCAGCAGGUUAAGACCCCGCUGUUCUGACGGUACCCAAAGAAUAAGCACCGGCUAACUUCGUG
rnacentral:rRNA from 1 species